rnacentral:rRNA from 1 species
AUUGAACGCUGGCGGCAUGCCUUACACAUGCAAGUCGAACGGCAGCGGACCUUCGGGUGCCGGCGAGUGGCGAACGGGUGAGUAAUGCAUCGGAACGUGCCAUUGAGUGGGGGAUAACGUAGCGAAAGUUGCGCUAAUACCGCAUAUUCUCUGAGGAGGAAAGUAGGGGAUCGAAAGACCUUAUGCUUUUGGAGCGGCCAAUGUCAGAUUAGCUUGUUGGUGAGGUAAAGGCUCACCAAGGCGACGAUCUGUAGCGGGUCUGAGAGGAUGAUCCGCCACACUGGGACUGAGACACGGCCCAGACUCCUACGGGAGGCAGCAGUGGGGAAUUUUGGACAAUGGGGGGCAACCCUGAUCCAGCCAUGCCGCGUGAGUGAAGAAGGCCUCGGUUGU